rnacentral:hammerhead_ribozyme from 1 species
AUCCGCCUGAUGAAUCUCGCACAGGACGAAACACUCGUCUUGGAU